rnacentral:rRNA from 1 species
AAACAUGGCUUUUUGGGGGUGAAAAAAAGUCUGGCCUGCUCACUGAUGAGUUUAAGAGCCGCGGUAUUUUGACUGUGCGAAGGUAGCAUAAUCAUUAGUCUUUUAAUUGGGGACUGGAAUGAAAGGUUUGAUGAAUAAAAACUAUUUAGUAUUAAAUUUUGAAAUUAGAUUUAUUGUAAAAAUACAAUAUUAAAAGUAUGGGACGAUAAGACCCUAUCGAGCUUAAUUAAAUAAAUUUAAUGGUGAAAUUUAUUUUCUCUUUUUAAAUGAGGUUUAAUUUUACUGGGGCGGUAAAUAAAAAGGCUUUUUUUAUUAGGAAACUAACAAGUUUGUAAAUUUGAUCUAUUGUUUUAAAAUUGGAAAAGCUACCGUAGGGAUAACAGUGUAAUUUAUUUGGAAAGAUCAUAUUGAUAAAUAAGAUUACUACCUCGAUGUUGAAUUAAAAUAACUUUAAGGUGCAAGAGCUUUAAAAGUGAGUCUGUUCGACUUUUAAAAUUUUACAUGAUCUGA